AUGGCGUUCGCACUCAAGGCCUCCGCCUCCCCCGCCCUCGCCGCUGCCUCCUCGGCGGCGUCGUCCCCCUCCUUCUCGGCCGCCUCCGCGGCGCCGAGGGGCCGCGCCGCCGCGGCGAGGAGGGUCUCGCUCCGCGGGGCCGCGCACCCCGUUGCCGCCAUCAGGGCGUCCGCCACCGCCGUGGCCGGGGACAAGCGCACCAUCUCCGGCACGUUCACCAACCUCAAGGAGCAGGGCAAGAUCGCGUUCAUCCCGUUCAUCGUCGCCGGCGACCCCGACUUGGCGACCACGGCGAAGGCGCUAAAGGUUCUCGAUGCGUGUGGUUCUGAUGUGAUCGAAUUGGGCGUGCCGUACUCUGAUCCGUUGGCUGAUGGCCCUGUUAUUCAGGCUUCUGCUACACGCGCGCUGACAAAGGGCACCACAUUUGAGGAUGUUAUCUCCAUGGUGAAAGAGGUGGUGCCUGAGCUGUCCUGCCCUCUCGCGCUUUUCACAUAUUACAACCCGAUUCUGAAGCGCGGUGUCGCCAACUUCAUGUCUGUUGUAAAAGAAGCCGGUGUACAUGGUCUUGUGGUACCUGAUGUUCCUCUGGAAGAGACAGAUAUUUUGAGAAGCGAGGCUGCCAAGAACAACCUAGAGCUGGUGUUACUAACAACACCAACUACACCAACAGAAAGAAUGGAGAGAAUUACAAAGGCUUCAGAAGGAUUUGUUUAUCUUGUAAGCACUACUGGAGUUACUGGCACACGUGCAAACGUAAGUUUCAAGGUGGAAGCUCUUCUUAAGGAAAUCAAGCAGGUCACAGAUAAAGCUGUUGCUGUCGGUUUUGGAGUGUCAACUCCAGAGCAGGUGAAGCAGAUCGCGGGCUGGGGUGCAGAUGGUGUGAUCGUUGGUAGCGCAAUGGUGAGACAGUUGGGUGAAUCUGGUUCUCCUGAAGAAGGAUUGAAGAAGCUAGAAGAAUUAGCCAAGAGCCUAAAGGCCGCAUUUCCAUGA
rnacentral:rRNA from 1 species